rnacentral:lncRNA from 1 species
ACUUCAUCUGGACAUGCCUGUCUGUGGACCUUACAGGCCUUCUGAAGAGCUUCUUUCUAAGGAACUAGAGGAGACGUGAAGAAUUUAAGUGUUUGCAACUGAAAAAGCUUCAGGAUGAAAUACUGGUGGUGAACAUCAAGAAAAACACACAUAGAAAAUCAGAACCCUCACAGAUAACCUAUAGGGUAAUAAAUGCAUAACAGAGACACUGUAGUGGCUGGGUACUGAUUUUUCAUUCCUUUUUCUAUUUUUCUGUGUUAAUAUAGUGGAACAGAAUCUGUCCUUUUAAAGAAGUCUUUUGUGGCUUAUCUUCUACUUUAAAAAAAUAAAAAAUAAAAAAAAUCCAAACAUAUUGUUUGGGAACUAUGCAUGUUUCAGCUUUCAAAAUACAAUGUUUGCAGCACUGGAAUCGGUAGUAAAUGUCUUAUUAGCUUUUAAAGGACCAUAACUCUGGUUUCAUUGACUUUGUGGUGUUUGUCAGGUUGUAGGCUUCAUUGCCUUUUCUUGCAGAAAACAUGAAAUGGAUCAAACACGUCAUUUGAUCAAGGUUAAAAUGUUAUGCAGCUUUUUUGUAUAUAAAAUAAAUAUGCAUUGACUUCUGAUUUUUUCCACACAUAGACCAUAACAUCACUCCAUAGAAUAUUUACAAAAUACUCCUUGCUCAAUAUUGUAACAAUUACAGAAAUUGUAUUGUAACUAUAGUAGGGAAAAACUCAACUGGAUCAUAAAUUGAGUGACUUUGUUUACUUGAGCAGUCCCUGAGCAAAUUGUAGUCCAUGAAGGAAAAAAAAAAUCCAUAAUUUCAAGCCAUUUUGCACAAAUCUCAACCCUAGGAGAGGAAGAUUAAGGUACGGAAAGAUUCCCUACCUUGAUACUAGAGAAGACUCACUUGUUUUCCCUUUGCUUACCAUCAUUAGCUUGGAACUGCGGGCUGUAUUAUUGAGUUAUUCUGUAUCUCUCAUAGAUUAUAUUAAAUCUCCAUGCUGCAAAGCAUUGUACAAACUGGAUUUUGUGUUGCACAGAUAGGUCUUAUUAUUGUACUUACCAAGUUUGUAUGGCUGGACCACAUAUGCAAUGCUUAGAGAAACAAAUAUAAACCUGACCCUUAAUCUUUAGUAUGUGGUGUAGGUCCAUUCCCUAUGGUCUUGUGAACAGGCCUGAUGAGCUGAGGCGUUCUGAUCUUUGAUAAUAGGACUUUUUCUAAAAUAAAUAUGCAGUAUUCAU